UACAGGUGGCUUCAUCACACUGGCUGUCACCUGGAGAGAAGCAGUUCAGAAUGAGACCUCCCUCAUGGCCUUCUCCAUAGGAUUUAACAAGUAAAAGUCAUUGACCAAGUCUCGGCAUGUACCUCCAUUAUGGCAAGGAUUUUUACUGCAGUCAUUAAUAUCUACAAUUAAAGAGAAGAGAUCAAACUGAAAGAUGUUUGCUUCUAUACAAGAUUUACCAAUACGGCCUUAUCUAGAUGCACAUUAGAACUCAACAGACUGACCCAAAGUCUGCACUGUGGAUUAACUUCCCUAAGUCUUAACUACUAGUUAGCCAUGACUAUAUAUAUAUAGCUUUGAAUAGCAUUCUCUUUUAAUUCAACAAGACAGUCCAAAUAACCUGUAAAUAUUUCUCUGCAGUGUCAACUUAAAUUUAAGGGAAAAAAUGAUGGAAAAAUAUUUGCUUCUUUGGAAGUGGGAUUAUUUAUUAUACUAAUAACAUAGUCUGCAGUCCCACAACAUGCAGCUGAGUGUCUCUCCUCCUGCUGUUGUCAGCAUAAAUGAAUGUAAACAGACCAGAGAUGCUGUUUCAGUACAAAAACAGCCACCUCAAUUGUUUUAGAGUUCUCCAUUAACAUGGUGGAGGCUGCCUCAGUCCAAAUUGACUUCCCCUUCCCUCAUGUACCCUCCCCCCAAGGAGGACAGGUUACUUACUGGUUUCACAGUAUGUCCCUUCCCAGCCGUCACCACAGAUACAUUUGUAUGAGUUGACACCGUCAAUACAAGUUCCACCAUUUUUACAAGGGUUGCUUUCACAAUCAUUAAUAUCUGCAGAAGAGGUAAAGAAAGCAAGACUUCAGAGAAGUAGAAGUACACUGGGCCAAGUUCACUUCCUGUUCUACCAUUACUGUAGCAGAAACCUGGGGCUACCUCUCUCAGAAACUAUCCCAGCACGCCAAACUUUGGGGAUUCUUAUCCAAAUGAGUCAAAAUACAAAACACCUUCCAGCACCAAUUUUUUAUAGAAAUAGAAGGAAAUAGAUCUUAAAAAGAGCUUGAUAAGCUACAUUAUAUCCCUUUGUAAGAAAAAAAGAAUGUAAGUAGUUUUCUAAAAAUGCUAUAGUGGGGACUAAAUCAAUUUUAAGCUGAGAUAAAAAUAAAAGUUUUCUCAUUCCAAAGGGUUAAUAAAUUAGAAAACAAGUAGGAUUCAAAAACAUGUUAAACUAUGUUUAGAAGCCAAUGUAAUAAUACAUUAAAUCCUAGUGCUGUCUGCUCCCAUCUCAAUGACUUACUGUCCUCCCUGGAGUUAAAAGAGCUAGUCUAGCUCCCUAAGAAAAUUCAAAAAUCAAACUUCUUAGAGAACUCAGCAGUUCUGUUCACAUAGCCUACAUACACAACUCAGAAUCCUUUGGGGAUCUUACUUUCAUGGCAGUAUGUCCCAGUGAAGCCUUUGUUGCAUUCACAGGUGAAUUUGCCUCCCGAUUGGCUCCUGCACUUUCCAUGGGGCCCACAAACGUUUGAAGAAAUGUAUCGCACCCCUUCUGGUGUGUCAUUGGAAGCCAUCGCAACAGUACAGCUGUCAAUCACUAAAUGGGAUACACAGACUCAGAAUCAGGGCAUUCUCACUAACAAAACAUAGUUACAACAACUAAGCACCCAAACCAAAGCUAUUCUUCCUCAUAGAUUUUGCACCUUUCAGCUAGUGGGAUGAUGUCAACAGACCCAGAGAUGAUGAGUCUGGUAUGUGU